rnacentral:snRNA from 1 species
GUGCUCUCUUCAGCAGCACAUAUACUAAAAUUGGAAUGAUACAGAGAUUAACAUGGCCCUGCGCAAGGAUGACAUGCAAAUUUGUGAAGUGUUCCAUAUUUUU